UCUCACUGUGGUUUUCAAAUGUUGUGAAUCCAUUUUUUUACAACAUCCACUGCUUAGUAGGUAAGAGGUGACUUUUGAGCACUCUGAGAGUAAAAAGAAAGUUUGAUUGAUAGAGUAGAUAGACAGUUGACAUGUAGAAAGAGUAAAAUUAGCACUUUUAUCCAAAGAGCAUUUUUGUCAAAAUAGAUUCAUGCAAUUUUUAUCAAUAGCUGUGUUUUACAUGUAAACCACAGGAUGAGGUCAAACAAAGGGUUUGUGUUUUCUGUCUCACUGUGGUUUUCAAAUGUUGUGAAUCCAUUUGUUUCAACAUCCACUGCUUAGUAGGUAAGAGGUGACUUUUGAGCACUCUGAGAGUAAAAAGAAAGUUUGAUAGAUAGAGUAGACAGACAGUUGAGGAUGGUAAGGUAAGGUCCUGCCCUCCUUCGCCCCUGAUUGGCUAUAAGUGCUGAGCUCCGAUUGGUUAUUCCUUA